GGGGGAAUUUUGGACAAUGGGCGCAAGCCUGAUCCAGCCAUGCCGCGUGAGUGAAGAAGGCCUUCGGGUUGUAAAGCUCUUUCGGUGGGGAAGAAAUUGCACGGGAUAAUACCCUGUGUAGAUGACGGUACCUGCAGAAGAAGCACCCGCUAACUACGUGCCAGCAGCCGCGGUAAUACAUAGGGUGCGAGCGUUUAUUGGAAUUAUUGGGCGUAAAGAGUGCGCGGGCGGUUGGAUAAGUCAGUUGUGAAAUCCCCGGGCUCAACCUGGGAACUGCAUUUGAGAGUGCCCAGCUGUAGUUUGGCAGAGGGGGGUGGAAUUCCUCGUGUAGCAGUGAAAUACGUAGAGAUAUGGAGGAACACCCAUGGCGAAGGCAGCCCCCUGGGCCAAUACUGACGCUCAUGCACGAAAGCGUGGGGAGCAAACAGGAUUAGAUACCCUGGUAGUCCACGCCCUAAACGAUGUCAACUAGGUGUUGGGAGGGUUAAACCUUUUAGUGCCGUAGCUAACGCGUUAAGUGACCAGCCCUA
rnacentral:rRNA from 1 species